rnacentral:lncRNA from 1 species
CAAUUAAAAUUGCAAGCUCAAUCAUGUUGAGAAAGAGAAAUACUAUAUAUAGAGAGAGUAGGUCUUGUGUGCUAUUAUGAAUACGGAGUCCUUAAUGCUUCUAAGUCAUUUUCGAUAAUAGAGCUAGCUUUCGAAUCGCCGAUCGGCUCUGUUAGACUUAAUCUAGUAUAUUUGAAGUAUCUAAAAAAUAAAUUUUGUGAUUUUUUGAUGUCAUUUAUCUAGCAAUCGAAAUGGUUCAAAAACAAUAAUUUUUUUUUUUUUUGAGAAAUAGGUAGUAUGCAAUCCGUUUUGUUUAUUUCAUUUAGAAAUAAACUUAGCUUGAAAUGUGAAUCAAUUAGUAUUCGAACUUGGGUCUCAAGUACCAACCACAAAGUCCUUUGCCACUUGCUCUAGGGACGAUCGGUAUAAUUUUAAUAAUUCAUAUAUACUGUUUGCAAGUUUAGCGGUGUAGAGUAUUCAAAUCAGAUAAAAUUUUGAUAAAAUUUUUUUUAUACUAUUUACUAUAAGAUUAAUAUUUUUUAUUGAAAAUUUUAAUAUUAUAUCACAAUUUUUUUUUAGAUUUUUAUUUUUAGUCAUUGAUUUUGAACAUUUUCAAUCGUUAGAUAAAUGAUAUCAAAAAAUUGCAAAAUUUAUUUUCUAGAUACUUCAAAUAUGUUAGAUCAAGUCUAGCGGCGCCGAUCAUUGAUUCGGAAGCUUCGUCAUCAAAAACGGCUU